rnacentral:rRNA from 1 species
UAUGACUCUCGGCAACGGAUAUCUCGGCUCUCGCAUCGACGAAGAACGUAGCGAAAUGCGAUACGUGGUGUGAAUUGCAGAAUCCCGUGAACCAUCGAGUCUUUGAACGCAAGUUGCGCCCGAGGGACCCUCCCGAGGGCACGCCUGCCUCAUGGGC